ensembl:rRNA 5S_rRNA 5S ribosomal RNA
AUCUACGGCCAUACCGCCCCGAACAAGCCUGAUCUCAUCUGAUCUCAGAAGCUUAGCAGGGUCAGGCCUGGUUAGUACUUGGAUGGGAGAAUAAACCCAAAUAUGUCAAUA